rnacentral:rRNA from 1 species
UACGUAGGGUGCGAGCGUUGUCCGGAAUUAUUGGGCGUAAAGAGCUCGUAGGCGGUUCGUCACGUCGGGAGUGAAAACUCGGAGCUUAACUCCGAGCCUGCUUCCGAUACGGGCAGACUAGAGGUGGGCAGGGGAGAGCGGAACUCCUGGUGUAGCGGUGGAAUGCGCAGAUAUCAGGAAGAACACCGGUGGCGAAGGCGGCUCUCUGGGCCUUACCUGACGCUGAGGAGCGAAAGCGUGGGUAGCGAACAGG